UUUUUUUUUUUUUUUGUUUUUAUUUAUUUUUUUUUUAUUUUUUUUUUUGUUUAUAACAAAAACGAAGGAAA
rnacentral:ribozyme from 1 species